rnacentral:rRNA from 1 species
UACGGAGGGUGCUAGCGUUGUUCGGAAUCACUGGGCGUAAAGGGCGUGUAGGCGGCCUGCUAAGUCUGAUGUGAAAUCCCCUCGCUCAACGAGGGAACUGCGUCGGAUACUGGCAGACUCGAGUACCGGAGAGGAAGGUGGAAUUCCCGGUGUAGCGGUGAAAUGCGUAGAUAUCAGGAGGAACACCGGUGGCGAAGGCGGGUCUCUGGGCCGUAACUGACGCUGAGGAGCGAAAGCGUGGGGAGCGAACAGG